rnacentral:rRNA from 1 species
UACGGAGGGUGCAAGCGUUGUCCGGAUUUACUGGGUUUAAAGGGUGCGUAGGCGGAGAAUUAAGUCAGUGGUGAAAGCCUGCGGCUCAACCGCAGAAGUGCCAUUGAUACUGGUUUUCUUGAGUGCAGUGGAGGUAGGCGGAAUUUAUGGUGUAGCGGUGAAAUGCAUAGAUACCAUAAAGAACACCGAUAGCGUAGGCAGCUUACUACGCUGUAACUGACGCUGAGGCACGAAAGCGUGGGGAUCAAACAGG